CCCUUAGAUGUUCUGGGCCGCACGCGCGCUACAAUGAUGAAUUCAACGAGUUUAUAACCUUGGUUGAAAAGCCUGGGUAAUCUUUUGAACUUUCGUCGUGAUGGGGCUAGACCCUUGCAAUUAUUGGUCUCCAACGAGGAAUUCCUAGUAAACGCAAGUCAUCAGCUUGCAUUGAUUACGUCCCUGCCCUUUGUACACACCGCCCGUCGCUCCUACCGAUUGAAUGAUCCGAUGAAUAUCAUGGAUUGAGGAUGCAAGUAGGUUCGCCUAUCUUCAUCUUCGAGAAGUGAAGUAAAUCUUAUCAUUUAGAGGAAGGAGAAGUCGUAACA
rnacentral:rRNA from 1 species